GACGAACGCUGGCGGCGUGCUUAACACAUGCCAGUCGUACGGUAAGGCCCUUUCGGGGGUACACGAGUGGCGCACGGGUGAGUAACACGUGAGUAACCUGCCCACAACUUUGGGAUAACGCUAGGAAACUGGUGCUAAUACUGGAUAUGUGCUCCUGCUGCAUGGUGGGGGUUGGAAAGCUCCGGCGGUUGUGGAUGGACUCGCGGCCUAUCAGCUUGUUGGUGGGGUAGUGGCCUACCAAGGCGGCGACGGGUAGCCGGCCUGAGAGGGUGACCGGCCACAUUGGGACUGAGAUACGGCCCAGACUCCUACGGGAGGCAGCAGUGGGGAAUAUUGCACAAGGGGCGCAAGCCUGAUGCAGCAACGCCGCGUGCGGGAUGACGGCCUUCGGGUUGUAAACCGCUUUCAGCAGGGACGAAGCUUUUUGUGACGGUACCUGCAGAAGAAGCACCGGCUAACUACGUG
rnacentral:rRNA from 1 species